UACCAGCACCCCCGAGUGGUCGGGACGUUUAUUGGGCCUAAAGCAUCCGUAGCCGGUUCUACAAGUCUUCCGUUAAAUCCAACUGCUUAACAGGUGGGCUGCGGAAGAUACUAUAGAGCUAGGAGGCGGGAGAGGCAAGCGGUACUCGAUGGGUAGGGGUAAAAUCCGUUGAUCCAUUGAAGACCACCAGUGGCGAAGGCGGCUAUCUGGACGGUUUCUGACACUAAGACUCGAAAGCGUGGGGAGCAAACAGG
rnacentral:rRNA from 1 species